CCUACGGGCUGCACCAGCGGGGAAUAUUGGACAAUGGGCGAAAGCCUGAUCCAGCAAUGCCGCGUGUGUGAAGAAGGUCUUCGGAUUGUAAAGCACUUUCGACGGGGACGAUGAUGACGGUACCCGUAGAAGAAGCCCCGGCUAACUUCGUGCCAGCAGCCGCGGUAAUACGAAGGGGGCUAGCGUUGCUCGGAAUGACUGGGCGUACAGGGCGCGUAGGCGGUUUAUGCAGUCAGAUGUGAAAUCCCCGGGCUUAACCUGGGAACUGCAUUUGAGACGCAUAGACUAGAGGUCUAGAGAGGGUUGUGGAAUUCCCAGUGUAGAGGUGAAAUUCGUAGAUAUUGGGAAGAACACCGGUGGCGAAGGCGGCAACCUGGUUCGAUACUGACGCUGAGGCGCGAAAGCGUGGGGAGCAAUCAGGAUUAGAUACCCCCGUAGUC
rnacentral:rRNA from 1 species